rnacentral:rRNA from 1 species
GAUGAACGCUAGCUACAGGCUUAACACAUGCAAGUCGAGGGGCAGCAUGGUCUUAGCUUGCUAAGGCCGAUGGCGACCGGCGCACGGGUGAGUAACACGUAUCCAACCUGCCGUCUACUCUUGGACAGCCUUCUGAAAGGAAGAUUAAUACAAGAUGGCAUCAUGAGUCCACAUGUUCACAUGAUUAAAGGUAUUCCGGUAGACGAUGGGGAUGCGUUCCAUUAGAUAGUAGGCGGGGUAACGGCCCACCUAGUCUUCGAUGGAUAGGGGUUCUGAGAGGAAGGUCCCCCACAUUGGAACUGAGACACGGUCCAA